rnacentral:lncRNA from 13 species
CAAAACCUUUAGCCCACGCUCAAGCAACUCUAUGGCUGCCCCUAAUUCCUCCUCUAUUGACAUUCAGGAGCUGACAGUUUCUGUGAAAGAACCUGAACACAGUGGAUCGACCAACUGUGGCUCUGGGGUUUAGAGUUUUGAGCAGCAGCGCAGAAUGAUGUCUAUCUGCCUUUCUGAAUCACAGUCAACUUCUGGCCUCUCUGCACAGAUUUGGUGCAGGAAACUAGUCAUACCCAUACCCAAACCCACAGCUCGCCCUGUGCCUCCUUCAUCUUCAUAAUUCUGCUCCCACCCUCUUCCCUCUUCCUUGCCCCUCAGUUGCAACACUGAGCUAAGUUUACAGAUGAUGCUCAACAAUUUAUUGUUGAUUAACUGAUUGACUCUGUGGCUAUGGAAACCAUCAGAUUCUAGUGCAACAGUGGGAUUCCUUCCUGACUUUAUGCUUGGCAAAAUUCUGACUCUCUGGGCUUGCUUCUCCCAGCUUGCCACCUCCAUCUGGGUCAGAAGAAGCAACUGGAAGCAGAAGCUCCAAGAGAAAGUGCUAGGACUGUUUUCUUCUAUACCGGACAUGUGGGCUCCUAGUGUGCCUUCCUGGAAAGCAGAGGCCAGUGAUGGAGCAGACCAAGAGGAUGCCAGGAAAAAGCACAAAGAAGCCCAGAAAGCACAGCCGGAAGCCAAGAACCCUAUUUUGGUUUGUGUGGGUGGAAGAUGAGGGACAACAUGUAGUGAUCAACAGGAUUCUUCAUUUGAAAGAGUGGAGCACAUCAGAUCUGUGUAUUUGGGUGAAGUAUGAUAGAUAAACUGAGUAUCAAAGACUAUGGAAAGAACAUGACUGCUUGGUUUAUUCUACUACCAGUGAUCUGUUUGUUCAUUUGCUUACUCAUGCACUCAUUUAUUCACUCAUUCUCUUUCACUUACUCUACAAUCAUGAUUGCAUGCCUACCGUAUGGCUUGAGGAAAGGCAGGAAAAGAUCCAAGGAUGUGGAUACAAUCUUCCUCCUUCAUGGUGAGAACUAAAGGAAUCUAUAAAGAGUUUGUCUUUUUCAUCUUGCUCUCUCCAACAUAGACCCUGACAAAUGUUUUAUUUCUUAUAAUUUGCCUGAGAUGUACUCAUCCACUUCCAGAGCUCUGAAAACACUCUUCAGAAUACUGUUUUAAAAUAAUGGUAAUGACAAUAAAGAACAUAUUGAGUGUUUCUGUAUGUGAAGC